CUCCAGCUCUGGGCUCAGGAAGCCGAGCGCGUCUGGAUUCCCACCAUGGCCUGGGCCCCUCUGCUCCUCACACUGCUCACGUACUGCUCAGGUUCUCUCGCCCAGUACGUGCUGACCCAGCCACCUGCAGUAUCUGUGUCUCCAGGGCAAAAUGCUCAACUCACCUGCACAGGAGAAAAGAUUGACGAACAGUAUGUGAGCUGGUACCAGCAGAAACCUGGCCGUGCCCCCGUACUCGUUAUAUACAAGGAUAGUGAGAGACCCUCUGGAAUCCCUGAGCGAUUCUCUGGGACGAGCUCCGGUAACACGGCCACGUUAACCAUCACUGGAGUCCAGGCGCAGGACGAGGCUGAUUAUUACUGUGAGCGGUGGCACAAAGACAGUAGCACUGCUCACAGUGACACAGCCAGAUGGGGAAGUGAGGCAAAAACUGCCUGUUGA